GUCGAGCGGGGAUGAGCUGGUCAGCUUGCUGAUUGGCUUAUCCUAGCGGCGGACGGGUGAGUAACGCGUGAGCAACCAACCUUGUACUGGGGGAUAACAGCUGGAAACAGCUGCUAAUACCGCAUAAGACUACGGCACCGCAUGGUGCUGUAGUAAAAGGUGCCGGAAGGCGCCGGUACAAGACGGGCUCGCGUCCCAUUAGCUAGUUGGUGGGGUAACGGCCUACCAAGGCGACGAUGUGUAGCCGGCCUGAGAGGGUGUACGGCCACACUGGGACUGAGACACGGCCCAGACUCCUACGGGAGGCAGCAGUGGGGGAUAUUGCGCAAUGGGGGAAACCCUGACGCAGCGACGCCGCGUGAGCGAGGAAGGCCUUCGGGUCGUAAAGCUCUGUCCCUGGGGACGAAGAAAUGACGGUACCUGGGGAGGAAGCCCCGGCUAACUACGUGCCAGCAGCCGCGGUAAUACGUAGGGGGCGAGCGUUGUCCGGAGUUACUGGGCGUAAAGGGUGCGUAGGCGGCCCAUUAAGUCAGGUGUGAAAAACCCUGGCUCAACCGGGGUAUUGCACUUGAAACUGAUGGGCUUGAGUGCAGGAGAGGGAAGCGGAAUUCCUGGUGUAGCGGUGAAAUGCGUAGAUAUCA
rnacentral:rRNA from 1 species